UUUAAGGUAAUCCAGGGAGGUAACAGACCGUGAAAGAUGAUGAGUCUUCUUCUCAUUAACGCUCCCACUUGCUGCAUUGCCACUCACCCUUUCCCAUCAAAACCCACCCAUGCUCCCCCUUUCUUUUCCCACCUUCAACUUACCUUCUCUUCUCCAAGGCAAAAAGUAGAUUUGAGAGGAAGGGCCAGAGUCCGUACUUGUGGGAUUAGGUGUUCGGAAAAAGUUGAUAAUGGUUCUGCAAUUGUGAAAGAAAAAAGCGUUUCAGUCAUUCUUUUAGCCGGAGGCCAAGGCAAAAGAAUGGGGGCAAGCAUGCCAAAGCAAUAUCUACCUCUUUUAGGACAACCAAUUGCUUUGUAUAGUUUAUAUACUUUCUCACGAAUGAUUGAAGUGAAAGAAAUUGUUGUGGUUUGUGAUCCAUCAUACAAAGACAUUUUUGAAGAAACCAAAGACAAAAUUAAUGUAGACCUUAAAUUCACGCUUCCUGGGAAGGAGAGACAGGAUUCUGUUUAUAGUGGGCUUCAGGCAGUUGAUUUGAAUUCUGAGCUUGUUUGCAUUCAUGAUUCUGCACGACCCUUGGUAACAUCUGAAGAUGUAGAAAAGGUUCUUAAAGAUGGUUGGCUGAUUGGAGCAGCAGUACUUGGGGUUCCUGUGAAAGCCACAAUUAAAGAGACAAAUACUGAUUCAUAUGUAGUGAAGACUCUGGACCGAAAAACACUAUGGGAAAUGCAGACCCCACAGGUUAUUAAGCCAGAGUUGCUGAGAAAAGGUUUCGAGCUUGUGAAUAGAGAAGGUCUUGAAGUGACGGAUGAUGUGUCCAUUGUGGAGCACCUUAAGCAUCCUGUAUAUGUAACUGAAGGAUCUUAUACCAACAUCAAGGUCACGACUCCCGAUGACUUGUUACUUGCAGAGAGAAUUCUGAAUAUGAAUUCGGCUGACCGUACUAAAUAACACAUUUAAACACUUUCUGAGGUCUCCCAAUUCCUCUGCUACAACUGAAUUUGGGUGCAUUUCAACAUUGGUUGCUAUAACUAGGAAAAAUGUAUUUUAGGUGGCGAGGAUAAAACUGUAUGUUAUACUUGGGCCUAAGAAAUUGUGCAGUAGAGGAAUAAUUUCU